rnacentral:rRNA from 1 species
UACGUAGGGUCCGAGCGUUGUCCGGAAUUAUUGGGCGUAAAGAGCUCGUAGGCGGUCUGUCGCGUCGGUCGUGAAAACUUGGGGCUUAACCCUGAGCUUGCGGUCGAUACGGGCAUGACUGGAGUUCGGCAGGGGAGACUGGAAUUCCUGGUGUAGCGGUGAAAUGCGCAGAUAUCAGGAAGAACACCAAUGGCGAAAGCAGCUCUCUGGGACGGUACUGACGCUGAGACGCGAAAGCGUGGGGAGCGAACAGG